AUGAGGACAGCUGUUCAUGCUUUAUUCAUUUUCCUCUGGCUGCAGAUGGACUGGGAGAGAAGAGGCGAGCAGGUGGAACAGCAUCCUUUCACCCUGAGUGUCCAGGAGGGAGACAGCGCUGUCAUCAACUGCACUUACACAGACAGUGCCUCAGUCUCAGUCUACUUCCCUUGGUAUAAGCAAGAGCCUGGGAAGCAUCCUCAGCUCAUCAUUGAUAUCCGUUCAAAUAUGGAAAGAAAGCAGAACCAAAGACUCACCCAUCUACUGGAUAAGAAACACAAACACCUUUCCCUGCUCAUCACAGCCACUCAGGCUGCAGAUUCAGCCAUCUACUUCUGUGCAGCAGAUACACACUGCUCCCCAGACACCUGCAGCCUGUCUUCAAACCUGCCACCAGGGCUGGAGUGCCACCCUUUUUGCUAUGUCAUACAUUCUAGGACAACAUUUGCCACAUUGUUUCAGAGUAGACACUAA